UACGGAGGGAGCUAGCGUUGUUCGGAAUUACUGGGCGUAAAGCGCACGUAGGCGGCUUUGUAAGUUAGAGGUGAAAGCCCGGAGCUCAACUCCGGAACUGCCUUUAAGACUGCAUCGCUUGAAUCCAGGAGAGGUGAGUGGAAUUCCGAGUGUAGGGGUGAAAUUCGUAGAUAUUCGGAAGAACACCAGUGGCGAAGGCGGCUCACUGGACUGGUAUUGACGCUGAGGUGCGAAAGCGUGGGGAGCAAACAGG
rnacentral:rRNA from 1 species